UGGUAGUUUUGGGGGUGUUGAUGAGUCAUUUCACCAUUAAUAUCACCAAAUGGAGAUAUUAAUACAUGAAGUGGUUAUAAGAAUUAAAAGAGUUGAUUAUAUAAUAUAGUUAGCUUAGGCUCAUAGCUAACACUCAGCAAAAUGUUGCUCAUUUUUAUUGAAUAAUCUAGAAAAUGGUUUAGUUCCAAAGGGGACCGUACAGUUGGUUGCAUGUAAUGAGACCAAAGGAGAAUGGUGGGGGAUGGCUCAAAUGGGCUCUUUGCAAUGAAGUUUAGCAUCCAGUGACCAUCUUAUUGGAUUUUCUUAGGGUGAUGAUUUUAUCUGUCAGACAAUUGGGGCCUGAAUUUUAUUUCAAAACGUGCUGCCAGCCUCGCCCAGCGACUCCAAACAGCCAGGGGAGAGAAGCUGUGAGCCGAGCGGCAUGAGCUGAAGGCCAGCAUAGCUAACUCCACCUAGCUGUACAGCCUUGCUACAUUGUUCGGAACCUGGUAUGGCCCUGCCUAGAGAUCCCCCCACAGCCAGGGAGCUUUGGAGCAUUCUCCAAUCACGGUUGGACCCGCCCAGCGACUGCAGCAGCUAGGGAACCUCUGUUUGCCGCAAGGUGCGGGCUGAAAGCUUACACGGCAUAAUCCACCUAGCUGUGCAGGAGCCUAAGUAAAUCCCUCCGAACCUGGCAGGCCCCGCCCAGCGUCCUCCACAGCCGAGGAGUUUUGGAAUGUUGCUUGGCUCCUGGUUGGGCCCGGCCAAAAGAUUCCAAACAGCCCGGGAACCUCUGCAUUACAAGCUGCAAGCCGAGCGGCGAGAGCUGAAGGCCUGCACAGCGAACUCCACCUAGCUGUGCUGCCUUUCUACUUCUCUCUGAACCAGGUCUCAUCCAGUGACCCCAAGCAGACGGGGAGCUUUCAUCCGCCGCGUGGCAAGAGCUGAAGGCCUACCCAGCAUACUCCACCUAGCGGUUCAGCCUUGGUACUCUACUCAGAACCUGGUAGGAAUCGGCCUAGCAACCUCAACAGCCUGAGAGCUUCGGUGUGCCUCUUGGAGGUUGCUGAAGGUCCGCCCAGUGCACUUCCCCAUUCAGGGAUCCUCUGAGUGCCGUUAGGGACCAGGUAAGGCCUGUCUAACGACCCCCACUCAACUGGGGAAACUCCCUCCAGUAAGAACAGCCAUCCUCAACCCAGGAAACAGCUGAGACUGCAUUUGGCUGCCCCAGGGGAAUACAGGAAAAUGACAAAAAGAAAGAGCAAAAAGCAAUGUCAAGUCUCCUGCCCUUCCCAAAAAAGCCUAGAAGACACGGACAUAAAAGGAAGUGUAAGCCACACACCUGAAAUUUCUGAAACGAUAGCAACUGAAAUAAAGAAAGAACUCCAUGAAGCUCUGAAGGAACUCGCAUCAGAAAUAAUAUCCCAGGUAAAAGAAGAAAUAACAAACACAAUGAGAGAAAUGCUGAAUACAUCUGAAGAAUACAAAAUUAAAGAAAUAGAGAAGCACAAUAAAAUGUUGGAAACCUUGAAUGAACAACAUAAGGAAGGAUUAGAAUGCAUGAAACAGAUUCAAAAAGAUAUCCAAGAAAUCAAACACAUGCUGGCUCCAGAAAUGAAACGCCUCUCUUGGUCAGAGAUCCUCUGAAGUUAUUAUAUCCCUCAAAAAAAAUCCAAUUUACUAUGAAUCAUGGAGAAUUUUUUUUUCUGCAACUUGUCUUGGUGGAAGACUGUGGGUGAAAAGUAGAAAACAGGUUGAAUAAUGACUCAUUGCUCACUGUACAACAAAAUUUAAUACAAUUCACCAUUGCAUGUGUCUAUUCUUCAUCUACCAUUUGUCUUAACUUUCUCUCUUUCCCACCUGUUAUAGUUUGUUUGGAUGCCCCUCCCAAGCCUCAUGCAAUCAUGGACAUGGCUGAAUCUAGCAUUUGUGAUUGGUUUGUUGUCUAGCACUGGGAUUGGCAAUGUGAGUGCUGCAUCCACCCAGGGGCAGAGCCAAUGACAUACAGUGUAAGGGUGGGAAGAAGAUGAGUCUUUCCUUUUUUGCUCUGUUUGUGCUUGCUGUUUGCAGUGGCCAUGAAUGGCUGCCCUGCCAUGCCAUCCUGCCUUGGAGCCAGCUGAGUAUGGACUGAAACCUCCAAGAACUAUAAGAAAUAAACCUUCCCUUGUUUCACUUUCGACGACAUGUAUUUUGUCUCAAGAAUGAGAAAAAAUAGGAUAGAAUUUGGUACUAGGUGUGGAGUCUUUGCUGCAACUGUACCUGAUCAUAUUGUUAAAGAGCCUUUAAGAAUGACUUGUAGGAAGAGUAGGUAAAGGUUGGGAGAUGUCACCUGAAACAGUGGCACUGGAACAGAUUAGGAUGUUCUGUCAGAGAUUCUGGAGAUUCUGGUCAGAGGUCAAGAGACCAGAAAGGUAAUAGAAAGCCUGCUGGUAAAGACCAGGCUCUGGAGGUUUCUGCUGGGAAGGACUACAUUGGUUGUUGGACUACACACAAUGUGUGUUAUGGCUUUGCAGAAAGUUUGUAUGCAUUUUGCUCAUGUCUAGAGACUCCGCCUGAGACUGAGAUUAAGGGCAGCAAACUGAUUAAUCUGGUAAAGGAAAAAAAAUAUGGUAAAAGACAUUUUAAGGCAGUCUAAUGUUGAGGCAGUGGCAUGGCUAAUAUUGAGGGCUUUUAGCCAGAUUUAUGUUGUGAAACGAGCAACAAGCCCAGCAGGAUGAUUUACAAUGUUGUAAAUUUGGCCAGAAAGCUAUGGACUAUAAAGAUGGAGUUCAGACCUUGAUUGCUAAGGAGAAAUAGGAAAAUAAAAAUGAUGGUCUGGGGGCAUCCCGGAAAGCAAGAGGUCCCCAGUCUUUGCAGCCUCAAAACUGUAAAAGUGAAAGACUUUGCUCAGAGGAGACAGCCACAGAGUGCUGUGUUCCAGAGUGGUGACACAGGCCACAGGAGGUUCCAAAAUGGUGGCAGCCACACCGGAUUCCAGAAUGGUAGCAGCAUAGAGCUGUUCCUCACAAUCAGGUUCAGAGAGCUCAGCAAUCAAGGCACUCAACUCUUACAGCCAAGAGAGAGGAAAGCUUGGCUACUACUCCAGCUCCAGCAGACCUAGGCAGCACCCACAUGGUGCUGGUUUUAGGUGAAUGGAGAAUACAUGAGUUCUGAGGUUAAAGCAGCUUCCACUCCAAUUUCAGAAGACCUAGGAGGCCAAGCAGUGUGCCCAAGAGGGCAGUAUGUGAAUGUGAAGGCAAAGGUGCAAUGGAGACCCCAGAAGUUUUGAAAAGCCAGGAACAUGAAUCAGCCAAGGAAAGCUGUUAAGACUGAGCAGAGAAAGUGGGCUUAAGAGAGAAGCUGUGGGAGAUGAAAUCCCUGGAAAUGCUGAGGAGAUGGAGUCACUCAAGCCUUUUGGAGCUUGUAACUAGAUUGCUUCAGAUGAUGAGCAUUGAACUCCAGGACUUAAUGUCUGCUCUGUUGGAUUUUGAACUUGCUUUGGUUUCAAUGCUUUCUAUCCCUCUGUUUGUAACUUUUGGAAUAAUAAUGCUUAUCUUAUAUGUUGGAAGUGUUUAACUUUACUUUCAUUUGUCAGGGGCUUGCAGCUAAGAGUUUGCCUUAGACUUGGGACUUGGACUUUUCAUAAAUGCUGAAACUGUUAGGACUUUGGCAACUUGGAGAUGGACUAAAUGUCUUUUGUAUAAAGGACGUACAUGAGUUUGGGAUGCCAGGGGUGGAAUGUUAUGUUUUAUGUUUGGAUGCAUCCCUCCAAGCCUCAUGCAAGCAUGGACAUAACUGAAUCUAGCAUUUGUGAUUGAUUUGUUGCCUAGCCCUGGGGUUGGCAAUGUGAGUGCUGCAUCCACCUAGGGGCAGAGCCAACAUACAGUAUAAGGGCGGAUAGAUGUGUCUUUCCUUUUUUGCUGUUUGUGCUUGCUGUUUGCAGUGGCCAUGAAUGCUGCCAUGCCAUGCCAUCCUGCCUUGGAGCCAGCUGAGUAUGGAUUGAAAUCUCAAAGAACUAUAAAAAAUAAACCUUCCCUUGCUUCA